AGAUCCCUGAAUAAUAUCAGCCACACCCCACUGUACUGACUGUUACUCUGUGUCCCCCUAGCUCCCCUGGAAGACCUGGUGGAGGACCCUCUUCGUGACAGGGAGGAUGAAGUGGUUCCACCUAAUGUUGAGGGGAACUCCAGAGAAAGUGAAAACGAAGACCAGGAACAACUGAUGGGGGCACUUCCAAGUGAUCAAGAGGAUGAAGAGGUCCCAUUUAAAGCCAAGGAACCCCUAAGGGCCUGCUGGAUGAGUCCCCCAGUGAGAGGGAAGAUGAGGAGGUUCCAUCAAAUUCCAAGCUCUCCCGGAGGGCCUCCUGGAGGAACUUCUGAGUGCCCAGGCAAUAGAGCACACUCCAUUUACUUACACCAAGCCAGUCCCAAGAGCAAGCAACAAUGACUGGCUUGCGGACCGCAAGUAUGACUCCACUAGC
rnacentral:lncRNA from 1 species